rnacentral:rRNA from 1 species
CAGUAGCCACGGGAAUACGUAGGGUGCAAGCGUUAAUCGGAAUUACUGGGCGUAAAGCGUGCGCAGGCGGUUUGUUAAGACAGAUGUGAAAUCCCCGGGCUCAACCUGGGAACUGCAUUUGUGACUGGCAAGCUAGAGUGUGGCAGAGGGGGGUGGAAUUCCGCGUGUAGCAGUGAAAUGCGUAGAUAUGCGGAGGAACACCGAUGGCGAAGGCAGCCCCCUGGGCCAAUACUGACGCUCAUGCACGAAAGCGUGGGGAGCAAACAGGAUUAGAUACCCCGGUAGUCCCUGUCUCUUAUAC